rnacentral:rRNA from 1 species
CCUACGGGUGGCAGCAGUAAGGAAUAUUGGUCAAUGGACGAGAGUCUGAACCAGCCAAGUAGCGUGAAGGAUGACUGCCCUAUGGGUUGUAAACUUCUUUUAUAGAGGAAUAAAACGAGGCACGUGUGCCUUUUUGCAUGUACUUUAUGAAUACGGAUCGGCUAACUCCGUGCCAGCAGCCGCGGUAAUCCGGAGGGUCCGGGCGUUAUCCGGGUUUAUUGGGUUUAAAGGGAGGGAAGAUGGGUUGUUAAGUCAGUUGUGAAAGUGGGCGGCUCAACCGUAAAAUUGCAAUUGAUACUGGCAGUCUUGAGUACAGUAGAGGUAGGCGGAAUUCGUGGUGUAGCGGUGAAAUGCUUAGAUAUUACGAAGAACCCCGAUUGCGAAGGCAGCUUACUAAACUGGUACUGACAUUGAUGCUCGAAAGUGUGGGUAUCAAACAGGAUUAGAUACCCUAGUAGUC